CCUACGGGAGGCAGCAGUGGGGGAUAUUGGACAAUGGGGGGAACCCUGAUCCAGCGACGCCGCGUGAGUGAAGAAGUAUCUCGGUAUGUAAAGCUCUGUCAGCAGGGAAGAAUUUAUGACGGUACCUGACCAAGAAGCCCCGGCUAACUACGUGCCAGCAGCCGCGGUAAU
rnacentral:rRNA from 1 species